GAUGAACGCUAGCGGAAGGCAUAAUACAUGCAAGUCGAACGGAUGUAGCAAUACAUUAGUGGCGCACGGGUGCGUAACGCGUAUGCAACCUACCUUCAUCAGGGGGAUAACUACCCGAAAGGGUGGCUAACACCGCAUAAUACUACUGAAUGGCAUCAUUUGGUAUUUAAAUCUGAGGAGGAUGAAGAUGGGCAUGCGUCCGAUUAGCUAGUUGGUGUGGUAACGGCGCACCAAGGCGACGAUCAGUAGGGGAACUGAGAGGUUGGUCCCCCACACUGGCACUGAGAUACGGGCCAGACUCCUACGGGAGGCAGCAGUAGGGAAUAUUGGUCAAUGGUGGGAACACUGAACCAGCCAUUCCGCGUGCAGGAAGAAGGGUCUCUGACUUGUAAACUGCUUUAGCAAGGGAAGAAAAAGCUCAUGCGUGAGAAAUUGACGGUACCUUGAGAAUAAGCACCGGCUAACUACGUGCCAGCCGCCGCCGUAAAAC
rnacentral:rRNA from 1 species